GGGGGCUUUCAGGGGGAGAAAAUACGGGGAACUCUGAGGUGACGAAAGAUGAGGGGAUUGAGAGUACGAGGAAACUCUGGGGAGACGGGAUAUAAAGAAAGCGAGUGGAGGGAUUGAGGGGGGCAGUGUCGAGAAACUUUGAGAGGACAGGAUAUGGGAGGGGAUCCUGAGGGCGAUGCACCUGUGGCGACCAGGUCGGCCACUUCCCGGAGAGCCACACCCCGCCGCUGGGAACAUUGGGCCCCGCAGCCCCGGGCGGUCCACGCCCACAGGGUAGGCCCGAGGCCUGGGGAGCCUGUGGGGCCUCCCUGCCCUCAGCAGCGCUCGGCCCGGCCGGCUUCGGUGCGCCCGGAAAAGUCGUCCGGCACCAUUCCGGUGCGCAGCUCCGCCGCCGCCCUGCCGCUGACGUUCCGCUGCCGGGAGGGGAGAGGGCGCCGCCCCGCGGGCUCCGAACGCCGGCUCCACGUGAGUGGCCGCGGGCACACCGGGACAUGGGGACACGGGGCCUCGGGGGCCGGGUGGGCCCUGGGCUGGAGAUCACGGCUCCGGGAUCCGAGAGGGCACCCGUGUAAAAGAGUUGGGGAGCAUCGGAGCGGUAGUAACAGAAGAGAUUGCACAGCUGUUAGAGAACUAUCACCUUUUCACAAGUAA
rnacentral:lncRNA from 1 species